AGCUUGUGUGUCGGUUUCAGUUGUUGUUCCAGAUGUUUGUGUGUCUGUCUCAGGUGUUGCCUCACAAGCUUCCGUUCCAUAUGUUUCCUGACAACCAUGUGUGUUACAUGCCUGUUCAGGUGUUGCCUCACAAGCCUCUGUUCCAUAUGUCAGGGGACAACAUUUGUGUUACAUGCCUGUUCAGGUGUU